UAGGGAAUCUUCGGCAAUGGGGGGAACCCUGACCGAGCAACGCCGCGUGAGUGAAGAAGGUUUUCGGAUCGUAAAGCUCUGUUGUUAAGGAAGAACGAGUGUGAGAAUGGAAAGUUCAUGCUGUGACGGUACUUAACCAGAAAGCCACGGCUAACUACGUGCCAGCAGCCGCGGUAAUACGUAGGUGGCAAGCGUUGUCCGGAUUUAUUGGGCGUAAAGCGAGCGCAGGCGGUCAAUUAAGUCUGAUGUGAAAGCCCCCGGCUCAACCGGGGAGGGUCAGUGGAAACUGGUAGACUUGAGUGCAGAAGAGGAGAGUGGAAUUCCAUGUGUAGCGGUGAAAUGCGUAGAUAUAUGGAGGAACACCAGUGGCGAAGGCGACUCUCUGGUCUGUAACUGACGCUGAGGCUCGAAAGCGUGGGUAGCAAACAGG
rnacentral:rRNA from 1 species